GACGAACGCUGGCGGCGUGCUUAACACAUGCAAGUCGAACGGAAAGGCCCUGCUUUUGUGGGGUGCUCGAGUGGCGAACGGGUGAGUAACACGUGAGUAACCUGCCCUUGACUUUGGGAUAACUUCAGGAAACUGGGGCUAAUACCGGAUAGGAGCUCCUGCUGCAUGGUGGGGGUUGGAAAGUUUCGGCGGUUGGGGAUGGACUCGCGGCUUAUCAGCUUGUUGGUGGGGUAGUGGCUUACCAAGGCUUUGACGGGUAGCCGGCCUGAGAGGGUGACCGGCCACAUUGGGACUGAGGUACGGGCCAGACUCCUACGGGAGGCAGCAGUGGGGAAUAUUGCACAAUGGGCGGAAGCCUGAUGCAGCAACGCCGCGUGCGGGAUGACGGCCUUAGGGUUGUAAACCGCUUACGCCUGUGACGAAGCGUGAGUGACGGUAAUGGGUAAAGAAGCACCGGCUAACUACGUG
rnacentral:rRNA from 1 species